rnacentral:rRNA from 1 species
UCGCUGGCGAUUAGUGCCGAACGGCGGCAGUAACACGCGGGCAAUCUGCCCUGCGCUCUGGUAGAAGCCCUGGAAACGGGGGCUAAUACCGGAUACUGAGCCAGGAUCAAACUCUAAAUGGUUCGAAAGCUCCGGCGGUGCAGGAUGAGCCCGCGGCCUAUCAGCUUGUUGGUGAGGUAAUGGCUCACCAAGGCGACGACGGGUAGCCGGCCUGAGAGGGCGACCGGCCACACUGGGACUGAGACACGGCCCAGACUCAUACGGGAGGCAGCAGUGGGGAAUAUUGCACAAUGGGCGAAAGCCUGAUGCAGCGACGCCGCGUGAGGGAUGACGGCCUUCGGGUUGUAAACCUCUUUCAGCAGGGAAGAAGCGAAAGUGACGGUACCUGCAGAAGAAGCGCUGUCUAACUACGUGCCAGUAGCCGCGGUAUUACGUAGGGCGCUACCGUUGGCCGGAA